CCAGGCCAGACCAAACCACAACAAGCUUCCAGCGGAAAGGAUUUUUCAGUUCUAGUCUCCAAGACCAAGGACACAACAGUAGCAGAAACAAUGGACUACACUGACCUUCCACACUCUCAGAUAAGAAAAGUAAUCACCUUAGCUUAUUUAUUGCAUAUGUUAAUAGGAAUACAGAGACCUAACAUGGUGAAAUGGAAACUUUAUCAUCUCUUUUACCCUGUUUUUGACAGGUCACAGUCACAGCUUCACGCUUGCUACUUUCAAAACAAACUAUUCCUCAUUACUAAUUGACAGUGGACACAUGUGUUGACAAACUUAUGGAGUUCAUCCAAGUGUGUGCAAGGGAGCUUAUGUGUCCAGCUUAUCAUGAACUAUGUAACUCCAUAUCAGMACCAUAUCUUGAAUUAUGUAAGUUCAGUCCUUAUUUCUUCUUUUUUUUUAAUUUCUGCAAAAUAUUUGAACCAUUAAUCCAAUAAUUAUAUAGUAGAUUAAAAACAUGAAACAUCAAUUUUUCCUUUUUAAGUUGAGAUGGGGUUUGAAACUAUCUAACUCUAAAAUUUUUCUAGUCAACUAAUACAUGUCUUAUAUCUAUCUCAUAGGGACCAUUAUAAAUGGAAGCAAUUAAUCCCUGCAAUUGGCUCCUAUACCAAUAUGUCUCAUAUCCAAGCAACAGUUAUUUGUUCUAGAAAAGCAGGCCUACAACUUAGUGUCCGAAGUGGUGGCCACGACUAAGAGGGACUUUCAUAUGCAUCUGAAGUUCCAUUCAUCAUUGUUGACCUGCUAAAUUUUUUAUCUAUUGGCGUUGAUAUAGAAGAUAACAGUGCAUGGAUUCAAGUUGGAUCAAUUCUUGGGGAUGUUUAUUAUAGAGUUGCAGAGAUUUUUGUUUGUUCAUGUAUUUUUCUUUUCAUUUUUUAUGGUGGAGAAUGAUUUUUUUAUUGUGAUUUUUGUUUGUUUA